rnacentral:rRNA from 1 species
AUUGAACGCUGGCGGAAUGCUUUACACAUGCAAGUCGAACGGCAGCACGGACUUCGGUCUGGUGGCGAGUGGCGAACGGGUGAGUAAUGUAUCGGAACGUGCCCAGUCGUGGGGGAUAACGUAGCGAAAAUUACGCUAAUACCGCAUACGAUCUAUGGAUGAAAGCGGGGGAUCGCAAGACCUCGCGCGAUUGGAGCGGCCGAUAUCAGAUUAGGUAGUUGGUGGGGUAAAGGCCCACCAAGCCAACGAUCUGUAGCUGGUCUGAGAGGACGACCAGCCACACUGGAACUGAGACACGGUCCAGACUCCUACGGGAGGCAGCAGUGGGGAAUUUUAGACAAUGGGCGAAAGCCUGAUCCAGCCAUUCCGCGUGCAGGAUGAAGGCCCUCGGGUUGUAAACUGCUUUUGUACAGAACGAAAAGGUUUCUACUAAUACUAGGAGCUCAUGACGGUACUGUAAGAAUAAGCACCGGCUAACUACGUGCCAGCAGCCGCCGUAA